CCUACGGGGGGCAGCAGUGAGGAAUAUUGGUCACUGGACGAGAGUCUGAACCAGCCACGUAGCGUGAAGGAUGACUGCCCUAUGGGUUGUAAACUUCUUUUAUAUGGGAAUAAAAGGUUCCACGUGUGGGAUUUUGUCUGUACCAUAUGAAUAAGGAUAGGCUAACUCGGUGCCAGCGGCAGCGGUAAUACGGAGGAUCCGUGCGUUUUACGGAUUAUGGGGUUUAAAGGGAGCGUAGGUGGCUUGUUAAGUUAGUUGGGAAAGUUUGCGGCUCAACCGUAAAAUUGCAGUUGAAACUGGCAGUCUUGAGUGCAGUAGAGGUGGGCGGAAGUCGUGGUGGAGCGGUGAAAUGCUUAGAUAUCACGAAGAACACCAAUGGCGAAGGCAGCUCACUGGCCUGCAACUGACGCUGAGGCUCGAAAGUGUGGGUAUCAAACAGGAUUAGAUACCCUAGUAGUC
rnacentral:rRNA from 1 species